rnacentral:rRNA from 1 species
AACGAACGCUGGCGGCGUGCCUAACACAUGCAAGUCGAACGGGAUUAAGGAGCUUGCUUCUUAAUCUAGUGGCGCACGGGUGAGUAACGCGUAGAUAAUCUGCCUGAUGAUCUGGAAUAACACUUCGAAAGGGGUGCUAAUACCGGAUAAGCCCACGAGUACUUUGGUGCUUGCGGGGAAAGGAGGGGACCUUUUGGCCUUCCGUAAUCAGAUGAGUCUGCGUACCAUUAGCUAGUUGGUAGGGUAAAGGCCUAACAAGGCGAAGAUGGUUAGCUGGUCUGGGAGGAUGAUCAGCCACACUGGAACUGAGACACGGUCCAGACUCCUACGAGAGGCAGCAGUGGGGAAUUUUGCGCAAUGGGCGAAAGCCUGACGCAGCAACGCCGCGUGAGUGAUGAAGGCUUUCGGGUCGUAAAGCUCUGUCAGGGGGAAAGAAGUGUAUUGUGGUUAAUACCCAUGAUACUUGACGGUACCCCCAAAGGAAGCACCGGCUAACUCCGUGCCAGCAGCCGCAGUAA